rnacentral:rRNA from 1 species
UACGAAGGGGGCUAGCGUUGCUCGGAAUCACUGGGCGUAAAGGGUGCGUAGGCGGGUCUUUAAGUCAGGGGUGAAAUCCUGGAGCUCAACUCCAGAACUGCCUUUGAUACUGAGAAGCUUGAGUCCGGGAGAGGUGAGUGGAACUGCGAGUGUAGAGGUGAAAUUCGUAGAUAUUCGCAAGAACACCAGUGGCGAAGGCGGCUCACUGGCCCGGUACUGACGCUGAGGCGCGAAAGCGUGGGGAGCAAACAGG